rnacentral:rRNA from 1 species
UCGAGAAUUUUUCACAAUGGGCGCAAGCCUGAUGGAGCGACGCCGCGUGGGGGAUGAAUGGCUUCGGCCCGUAAACCCCUGUCAUUUGCGAUCAACCGUUAUUGUUUAAGAGAUGAUAACCUGAUAGUAGCGAAAGAGGAAGGGACGGCUAACUCUGUGCCAGCAGCCGCGGUAAUACGGAGGGUCCAAGCGUUAUCCGGAUUUACUGGGUUUAAAGGGUGCGUAGGUGGUCAGAUAAGUCAGUGGUGAAAUCCUGCGGCUCAACCGCAGAACUGCCAUUGAAACUGCCUGACUUGAGUGUAGUUGAGGCGGGUGGAAUGUAUCAUGUAGCGGUGAAAUGCGUAGAUAUGAUACAGAACACCAAUUGAGUAGUCAGCUCGCUAAACUAUUACUGACACUGAGGAACGAAAGCGUGGGUAUCGAACA